GCAGGGAAGAGAGGCGGACGGAAAGUGUGUGUUUGUUUCGGAUAUUGUGUGUCGAUCCCUGCGGAUUUAUGAGUGGUGCCCGCUUUGGAUCAUGUGUUGAUCCCCAGGAGUGGAUUUUACCUAGACGUUGCAAUUUUGGGGUGUAGUUCACGGAGGGAAGAUAUUUUCUGAAGCUGGACUGCAGGUUCAAAGAGAAAGGUUGCCAGGUGCAACGGAUCAACGUGUGUUUGUCCUUUUGCCACGUGUACCCUCCCAGUCUGCCUGGCACUAACGGUCCCAUGAGUCACUGCACGUGUCGCAUGUCCGAUGUCUGGGAUAAUACGACCGUCAUUGCUUGGGCUGCACACGUUCUCUACAUACCAAUGCAGUCAUUCCGUCCUAGACUGCGAUGACUCAAUCAGUCAUGGAAUCAAGUUGGGGGAUCCUUGAAGCAUGUGUCAAAAGGAGAAGCAGGCCUGUGGGGGGUUCAUUCUGCCGAUAGGACCUACUAUCAUGAGGCAAGGAUUUCAACAGAUGUCCAGUCAUAUCACUAGAGAAGCGCCUGACUGUAUAUAACUGGUGUUCUCAGACUAUCUCGAAGUUUUUUAAACUGUUGUCUUCCGCUGAUCCGCUUUGAUCAAGAUCUCUGAAACAGACAAAACAGAGUGAUAGAAAUGCUGAUAAUUCUGUGUCUUCUGGCUCUGACCUCAUCCUGCUGCGGUCAGUCAUGGAGGAAAGUGGAGGGAUCCUUGAAACAUGUGUCAAUAGGAAGAGCAGGCGUGUGGGGGGUAAAUGCUGACGAUCUGAUCUACUAUCGUGAGGUGAUGUAUCCCGACAAUGUUACCUACAUCGGAAGUAAUAAUGCAACAGUCAGAAAGUUUACUGGUUAAAUGUGUAAACGAUUACAUUAAAAUUAUUUGGUUUCUUUGGGUUUUUUUUUCAUUUUAAUUUAAAUUUUUGUGCCCAUAACUGGCAAUUGCAAGUAUCAGAUUUGUCGAACUGAAGUGUAAAUACAUGUAAUGGCUGUGUAUAAGGAAUAUAUAGACAUAAUUGCUAGUCUGAGUUUUACAGAUAUAUUAGGUGCACAAUCGUAGUUUUCCGAGAGGCUAAUUAGUUGAUACUAACAAUUAUUUGAUGUUCUGCACCUCCAUGUAACUGCACAAUAUAGUAAUUAUAGAGCUCAUUCAGAACUUGUUGGCUUGUCUUAAAACCUGUUUGUUACCUAGUGACACCAUUUCUUUAAGAAAAGUAUUUGUAUCGUGUUUGCUGUGGCCAGGGUACAUACCAGGCGCCAAAUGCCACAGGCACAAAAUGGACGCUCGUCCCCGGACAUCUCAAGCAGCUCGACGUCGGCAGGGACAUCGUCGUUGGCGUCAACAGUAAAAAUGAAAUUUUAUACAGAAAGGAUAUCUCAGACGAAAAUCCUACAGGGUCGGACUGGGUCCAACUGGACGGUUGUCUCAAACACGUGACUGUGUCACCCUAUGGCGCCAUCUGGGGGGUUAAUCAUUAUAAUUUUGUAAGCUGUUUUUUGUCAGAAAUAGAAAGUUUUUAAAUUAGUUUUAGGAUAAAAAUGAAUAAUUGUGUAAGAUAAUUAAUGAAACGUCUCUGUUCAUUAAAAUUCGAAUGUUCGACAAAAUGACAGAGGAGUCAAUUUUUUAAGAGCCUUAGUUAUAGUCCUAUUUAAAAUUAGUGAAAACAUCGUUAAUUGUGGGUGAACGGUCAGAAUCAAAUUUAGAAGCAAAGAAACACUCAUCAGAGAAACUAUCAUGUGAACAGAAGUUUAAAUAAUGUUUAGGGUUCUUGUUCUCUCCCACGUUAUUUCUGUUAUGAAAGAAAUGAACAUUUUAUGUCAUGCUCUACAAAAUCAUUUAGUGAGUCAUCGAAGACAUUUGUGUGUGUGUGAGAGAGAGAUAUGGGGUGUCUUGUGUCUGUGUGUGUGUGUGUGUGGUCUGAUCCACUCUUUGAUUUUUUGAGAUCCACUUGUCAGUUGUCUGCUCCUCAUUCUGGUAUUUGUCAAGGAGCCUCACCAUCUGUCAAACUAAGUCACCUCACUUGAUAGAGAGGUUGGCUUCUAUGAACCGAGGAUCUAUUUCCGGGAUGGCAUUAGCCCGCAGAAUCCAGCGGGAACUAGCUGGCAGAUGGUUGAUGGGAAAUUGACACAGAUUUCUGCAGGACCGUCUGGCGUGUGGGGGGUCAACGCCAACGACGACAUUUUUUACCGAGAGGGAACCUACGGUGGGCACGUCACGAUGGGCAGUGGAUGGACCAAUGUACCAGGAACACUAGCAUACAUCACUUCCGGUUCAGAAGUGGUUGUUGGAGUGAACAGGGAGAAACGGAUCUUGCGCAGAACUGAAAUCAGUGAAGGAAGUCCCACAGAAAAUCAAUGGCUGCAGUUGGAUGGAAAACUGAGCAUGAUUGAGGAGUAUAACGGUACUAUGUGUGGGGUUAAUGGAGUUAAUGAUAUCUGGGUAUCGCCCACCAACUAACACGUCACCAUAACCAACAACCUCUUGAGUCUAGAUGAUUUCGAUUCGACAAUUUUAACUGUUUUCGAUGGUUGAAAUUUCAAAAUAAAAGCUGAAACUUUUUUAUCUGUAAUAGAUGUGACGUGUUGGGAAUUUAUGCAAAAUGCCAGUAAAGGUUAGAUUAUUGUUUACAUCUUACCAUUUGAUACUAUUUAGCGUAUAUAUAUAUAUGACUAUAGAAGACAACUGUGAAAGCUUACACCAGCUGUACAAAACAUUAUUCCAAAAGGUAGCAUGCCACCCCUAUUU
rnacentral:misc_RNA from 1 species